CACGUACUCCCUCCAUUCGGAAUUACUCGUCGCAGAAAUGGAUGUAUCUAGAAUACAUUUAGAUACAUCCAUUUCUGCGACAAGUAAUUUCGAACGAAGGGAGUAGGAA
rnacentral:pre_miRNA from 1 species